UACGUAGGGGGCGAGCGUUGUCCGGAUUUAUUGGGCGUAAAGAACUCGUAGGCGGCUCGGUAAGUCGGAUGUGAAACCUCCAGGCUCAACCUGGAGACGCCAUCUGAUACUGCCGUGGCUUGAGUCCGGUAGAGGAGCAGGGAAUUCCUGGUGUAGCGGUGAAAUGCGCAGAUAUCAGGAGGAACACCGGUGGCGAAGGCGGGUCUCUGGGCAGUAACUGACGCUGAGGAGCGAAAGCGUGGGGAGCGAACAGG
rnacentral:rRNA from 1 species